GGGGAGGUAGCUAGCAAAUGGAGAAUGUGUUACUACGUUACCCCAAGAAAGGAACAAAACUCCACUAAAACACAACACAAAGAAAGCAAAUUUUAAUCAGUUGAACCAGAAGAUAAUCGAUGAAAGACUAAACUAAACAAAGUUUAAACGAUAAGCAUAAAAAAAAAUCACGUACCUAGGAUGCAAUGUCGCAAGAGAGAAAAAGGAGAGGAGGAAGACGAUAAAGAUAUUAGAAACAAUAAUGGAAUGCCGUAAGAGAAAAAAAGAAGAGGUGCUGCAAGAGAAAAAGGAGAAUAGGAAGACGAUAUCAGAAACUGAAUGUUGCGAAGAGUUUGCGAUUUAUUUAAAAUGAAAUUGGGCGUCGGUUUCUCCAGAAACCGACGUCUAUAGUCACAUAGACGUCGAUUAUCUCACUAAUAUGACAUCCAAGUUAACAUUGAAACUGACUUUUUGAAUACCCACUAGACGUCGGUUUCGAGGGGAGCCGACGUCUAGGAAGUUGAACCGAUUGACGUUUGAUUUUCUGUCAGGGAUGUUCACGACAGUUGUGAUGGGGAGCCGACGUUUAUAAUAACGUAGACGUCGGUGCUCAUCUAGCCGACGUCUAAGUCCCUCGAGUUUGGUGAACAUAAUUAAUUACAGGCACAUAGACGUCGCUUCCCCUCAACACCGACGUCUAAAUUGAAGAAUUUUUUGUCUUCCCGCCUUCCAGACAGGCCUUAAACGUCGUCUUUUGACUAUGUGACGUCUAAGCGCCUAGGAAGUAGGUGAAGAGCAUUAAUUGCAGCCCGG
rnacentral:lncRNA from 1 species